ACGUACACUCCUACGGAGGCAGCAGUGGGGAAUAUUGGACAAUGGGCGCAAGCCUGAUCCAGCCAUGCCGCGUGAGUGAUGAAGGCCCUAGGGUUGUAAAGCUCUUUCACCGGUGAAGAUAAUGACGGUAACCGGAGAAGAAGCCCCGGCUAACUUCGUGCCAGCAGCCGCGGUAAUACGAAGGGGGCUAGCGUUGUUCGGAUUUACUGGGCGUAAAGCGCACGUAGGCGGACUAUUAAGUCAGGGGUGAAAUCCCGGGGCUCAACCCCGGAACUGCCUUUGAUACUGGUAGUCUUGAGUUCGAGAGAGGUGAGUGGAAUUCCGAGUGUAGAGGUGAAAUUCGUAGAUAUUCGGAGGAACACCAGUGGCGAAGGCGGCUCACUGGCUCGAUACUGACGCUGAGGUGCGAAAGCGUGGGGAGCAAACAGGAUUAGAUACCCGGGUAGUCCCA
rnacentral:rRNA from 1 species